GGACCCAUGGCGCAACGGCAGCGCGUUCGACUCCAGAUCGAAAGGUUAUCUGUUCAAAUCAGGUUGGGUUCA